GCCUGUAAUCCCAGCACUUUGGGAGGCCGAGGCGGGCAGAUAAUGAGAUCAACAGAUUUAGACCAUCCUGGCCAACAUGGUGAAACCCCGUCUCUACCAAAAACACAAAAA